rnacentral:rRNA from 1 species
AGAUUGAACGCUGGCGGCAUGCCUAACACAUGCAAGUCGAACGGGAGUAGCAAUACUCUAGUGGCGGACGGGUGAGGAAUACGUAGGAAUUUGCCCUUAAGUGGGGAGUAACCGGGAAACCCGGAUUAAUACCGCAUGACCUCGAAAGAGCAAAGUGGGGGAUCGCAAGACCUCACGCUUUUGGAGAAGCCUACGUCGGAUUAGCUAGUUGGUGAGGUAAUGGCUCACCAAGGCGACGAUCCGUAACUGGUCUGAGAGGGAUGAUCGAGUCACACCGGAACUGAGACACGGUCCGGACUCCGUACGGGAGGCAGCGAGUGGGGAAUAGUUGGACAAUGGGCGCAAGCCUGAUCCAGCAAUGACCGCGUGGUCGUAGAAGGAAGG